CUUCUCUUCUCUUCUCUUCUUUACUUACAACACGUUAUCAGCACGAGACUCUAAACCCUAGCUAAAAUCCAGCGACCACAAAAACUCUAAUUUCAGCCGCAACUUUAAACCGUCAUAUCUCCCUAACCGUAAGGAUCCAGACGACGAGUAAUAUAUCAAAUUGAAGCUCUUGACGAGACGAAUCCAGCGCCGCAGACCACGCAUCAAUCCGACUCCAGACGCGCCGUCACCUCCCAGUGCAAGCCGCGCCGUCAAAGAUCAUCCAAAACCCUAAUAGCCGCCAACUCCUUAUCUCUCUUAAUUUCGAUUUCUAUUGUUCUUAGAUCUCAUACUAAUCCAACUUUGAAACUUUCAUUGUUGAUUAUUUAAGGUUUCUAAAAGAGGAACCAAGGAGAAAAGAUCGGCAAAGAUUAAAUUUUGUAUGGACAACAAGUGAUACCCCUUUAAGGAUGACACGCUAUAUGUCCAAACAAAAUUUAAGGUUACCAGUCCGAUCCACACAGUGCUAAGUCCCAAACCGGCUAUGUUUUCACAUAUGGAGGCACGACCAUUUCAUGGAGAUCAGUCAAGCAGACUAUAUCAGCCACAUCAUCCAAUCACUCGGAUAUAUUGGCGAUCCAUGAAGUAAGCAAAGAGUGUGUCUGGUUGAGACUCAUGACACACCAUAUUCGGACAUCAUGUGGGAUCACGGAUGGUAAAGACGAGCCGACCGUUCUUUACGAAGACAAUGCGGCCUGCAUAGCUCAGCUCAAAGAUGGUUACAUCAAGGGUGACAAGACUAAGCAUGUUCUCCCCAAGUUCUUCUUCACCCACGAUCUUCAGAAAGAAGGAGAGGUCAAGGUACUCUAAGUCAGAUCCAGCGAGAACUCAGCCGACCUCUUCACUUAGGCAUUACCAACAUGCACGCUCAGGAAGCUUAUGCAGCAGAUUGGUAUGCGAUCACUGAGAAGCCUUCAGUGAUGUUCACUUCAGGGGAAGUAAUGCGGCUGUACUCUUUUUCCUAUCCAUGGCUUCCCGUUUUUACCACAUUGGGUUUUUGGGUUUACCAUGGAAAGGUUUUAACGAGGCAGUAUUCCAAACGCAUUACAAACUCUAGACGGUUAUGGCAUUACAAUCUCGGUUUUUAACGAGGCAGCAUCUACGGCGUUCUGAAAGCACUUCGACAUAUUGGACAUCAAGGGGAAGUGUUAUAAAUAUUGUAAUGAUGUCCAUAUGGAAAGUCCUAGAUAUACUUGUUCCCCACUCCAAGUUAAGCUUUGUCUCCAAGCUAUUGUAUCCUAUAUAAGGAGAUCAUUAUUCAUGGAAUAAGACAGACCAAUUCUUCUCUUCUCUUCUCUUCUCUUCUUUACUUACAACAUUUUUUUUUUUUCUGGUGACCAAAUAUUGUUCGUUUUGCAUAUACGUAACGUAAUGAACGAAUAACAGAGAAAAACCCUUUUGUCUGAUUACAAACUUUACAGGAAUUGAUUAUACAAAACCUCAUAACACUCUUCUGAGUCCUAAUAUCCUUCAACACUUGAACGUACUUAUUUGUUCAUACAUUCUUUUGUGUCAACUCUCAAAUUCU